AUGGAUGAAUUAAAAAAUCAAAUCGAUAAAAAAAAUGGUAAAAACCUGCAAUUUAAAUUCAUGUCCCAAGUAACAACAGCACAUUUUUGGUGUGACAUGUAUCGGAUUCAAGCGAAAUUUCUUUUUCGUAUUUCAGAUUGAACUUUGGUCUAAGCAACCCAAUGUUGUUUCAUAUCUAAAAACCAAGCUCAAUGCUCAAAUUCAAGUCUUUAUUCACCCAAAGAUCCUAGCUUUCAAGCUAAAAAUGAUGAAAUAAAAUCAAGUAGAACACAUCAAACCACAAGAACCCAAUCAAUACAGUAGAUAACUGAACAACUCCAGCUCUUCAGUUGGGAUAAAAAAAUAAAACUUUUAAAUUAGAUCCAGGCACGAUAAUCAUGUAAACAGAAAAAUAAUAAUUCAAACAACUGGUGGAAGCAUUGAGUUAAAAUCAAUGAACGAUAGAAGCAAAGAUAGAAAAAGUUUGAAUCUUGGGAGAAUAUUUACCUUAGAUUCAAAGGAUUUAUCUCUGUUCUUGGUGAGAAAGUAAGGAGAAGUAAAUUUCUGGCAUAGAAUUGAGGGAACCUAACCUCAAUGAAAAAGAAAACGUCUGUGAAAAUUUUCCCAAAU
rnacentral:lncRNA from 1 species